ACUUGGUAUGCUUAUCCUUUUGUUCAUUCCAUACAUCUGUACCCCUCAUUCAGCCCUAUUUCUCCAACCAGCAGCUCUGCCUUCUGCUACAAUACCUCUACACACUGCUCUUACUCCAUACGAUUACACACAGCCCACCAGGGGCAACAAUUUCGGCCCAUCAUUUGGGCAUUAACAACUGUCAAUUUCCUGAUAUACAAG